UUGACCAAUCUGUGAAAUCAGAAAAAAAGGGAACUCAUUAAAAAAGACAACAAACUCAUGACUAUUCUCCAAGAAGAUAAAAGCACUGUAGUUGUAUUUAGGGAGAAGAGAAAGCAAGACAUGAUGACACAAGUCAGAAUUCAACUUUAGUAUCCUAACUUACAAAUGCCAGCUCAACUACUAAACAUGAGAAAAUGGUGCCUUGAUGUUAAUUAAGGCUGAAAUAACACUACAUCAGUAGUUGACGGUGAAGGAAUAAAAGUAAAAAAAGUCCACAAAACCUUUACUGACAUCAGUACAUGCAGCAUAAAAUGCACCAGCCAGAAGUUAACUGUUCAAGGACUUGACAACUGAGAAUGAUUAUGUCUAAUAAAUUAAAUAUUUGUCCUAGAAAAGUCUCUAUCUUAUCCAUGUUAUAGCAAGGUAUGGGUCUGUCACAGGACUGAAUAUAAAUUGUUAUUAAGGGUUCGGAUGAAUAGGCCAUUGCUGUGGGUACAAGAUAUUCUAUUAGUAUAAACACCUAGACACCAUCAGAACACAAUAUAACAGCAUGCAGGAAGCUGGGCGUGAAUGUAGUUCUGCACUGGCACCAUAACUAAUCCUGCAGAGGAAGAAAGGCCAGGUAAAGGAACUUCAUGAGGCAGAUACCCCAGGAAAGGAGUACAGAGCAAGAUUCAGGUGGUCACAACUCAGUUUCUCUCCCAGGAACAUAUAUGCCAAUUAAAAGAGAGGACUUCACUACAGCCUUCCUGAUACCGUCCCCUACCCCAUCCAGCUAAGAGCAGCAGUAAAAGGAAAUAUGGAUAGGCAGCAACAGAAACAAGGGAACGGAUCUUCAAGGUUAUGUAAAUCCAAUGACUUUUAUAGGCACCAGGACUGUGCAUAAAGGGUAAAUUAUUUUUGAAAUGAGAAUUCUAUAGAUUUGCACCUCCAGGUUUCAUAAAUGCCUCUGACAAUCUGAGAAGUAAUUUUAGACAUGCUCCCAAAGCAGCUCUGAAGAGCUCCUGGGAGAGCAAGAAAAUGAGUACAUGACUUUACUGUCAACUAUCUGUCCAUUUAAGUCCUAAAAAUCUAUUUUUUUUUCUCUUUGAGUCUCAUUUGAUUCCCAACCAUCUUUCAAGAAUAUAUGCCAGAAGAAUUCUAAGAGCAAUCAUUAUAAAGCAACAAUCAAGGUAACAAGGCAAAUUACACUCUCUUUAGAGCUUCUCAUUAGGAUAGCAAAGAAAGACACAUCCCAUGCACCUGAUAUCACAAAAAAGAAUAUAAUUUCUAACAGCAGGUAGAGAAAACAGCUUUUGAGUGGGAAAGAAUAUCUACUUUCUGUCUUUCAGAUUAUGGAUUUAUACUGCUCCCUUCUGGGAAUUCUUUGGAUAACACAACAUGACCACACACUAAAGUUUUCAAGAGUACUAAUUUCAGAUUCAACAUCAGAGAUAUGACUGCAAAUUGUCAUGCACAUUAUUUUAUGCAAUAUUAACACUUUAAUUUAUGCUGAUACAUUCUUAUCAGGUGGCCAAUGCUGAUAGGGAACUCAUGUAGCCCCAAGUCAAUCAUUUUCAUCUUUAGAUAGUUCUGACAAAGUUCUUUCUGAUACUGAUCUAUAAUCUUCCUAUAACUUGUAGGAUGUUGACACUUUCUGAGUAACUUACUAUCCACCUUGAAAACAGACCUCACAAAAGAUGAAAUGGAUGGAGGCUAUACAGAAGUAGCAGCUGUGGGAUCACACGAGAAGGAGAAAUACUACUACUAGAAGGAGAAAUAACAUAGAAGUUAAAGGAAUACGCUAAAAGGUGACCGGACUUGGCCAACUUAGGACAAGGCACCCCUGAGCUGGACUUGGACCUGGAACCUGAUCCUCAAGUGAUAAACCUAUUCCUUCCCUGAGUUUUCCUAAAUCACAGGCUGCCAUUCAUUAGUAGGUUAUGAAAGAAUUAAGUGGGAUGUGACUAAAAUUACUUUUUUUACAGAAAAUAGGAUGAAAUAACAAAAUAGGGUAAAGCACAUGUUAGGAAUAUUAUUUUCUGAAACUUUUGUUUCACUUAUAUUUUGAGUGGCAAAGUAAAUUUAUUUUUACAGUAGAUUGAGAAUUACUCCCUGAGAUAAUACCACUGCCACUUACCAUUACUAAGGAAGCCACAUUUUUACUGAUAUACCUCCCAUACAGGCCAUCCUGGCACCCAAAGGAUUUUUCAAUCAACUGUAGCUACUGAUCAAGUUAAGAGAACUAUCUUACCUUGAAGAAAUCUCAAGGCAAUCCAACAAAUCAUUAUAGGUCUAAGUUAAACAAUAAUUCAUUCUACUGUUCCCCUCCUAUGAGUAAUAAAUGCUAGACACCUACUGUUUCCAUAGUGUGCUCUGAGAUUACUUCCAGAAUCGAGCAGAUUUUCAACAUUAAACAUCUUCCACUGGUAUCAUUAAAUAAAUGCAAAUAUAAGUUGCAUUCCCUGGAUCUUUUCCAAUAUUUAAAUUACUAACAAUGGCAUUACUAUUUUUUAAAGGCAAAAUGAGAUGUGCAUCUAAAUUUGAGCUAAA